rfam:Schistosoma mattheei strain Denwood, Zambia genome assembly, scaffold: SMTD_scaffold0014701
AUCCAGCUGACGAGUCCCAAAUAGGACGAAACAAGCCUCCUGGAU